ensembl:rRNA 5S_rRNA 5S ribosomal RNA
GCCUACGACCAUAUCACCCUGAAUGCGCCCGAUCUCGUCUGAUCUCGGAAGCUAAGCAUGGUCGAGCCUGAUUAGUACUUGGAUGGGAGACUACCUGGGAAUACCAGGUGUUGUAGGCU